GUGUGUGUGAGUGUGUUAAAGAAUGUGUGUGUGUGUAAGAAUGUGUGUGUGUGUGUUAUGUGGCAGCGAUGGUGGUUCCUCCUCCGAGACGCAGCAGAAUCUGUGUGUGUGUGUGUUAUGUGUUGUGUGUUAUGUGGCAGCGAUGGUGGUUCCUCCUCCGAGCCGCAGAUGUAUCUAUGUGUUAUUGUGAGUGUGUGUGUUAUGUGGCAGCGAUGGUGGUUCCUCCUCCGAGCCGCAGCAGUAUCUGCUGACAGUCCUGCAGGGAUCUGCGGUCUCCCACUCGCUCCAGCGUGCGCUUGGCCUCGGC